CCAUCUUUACAGGGGACCAACUUGCACAAGCCACUGGCUCUGAGAUCGUUCAAUCAGACGCAUUGGAAGUCCUGGGCUAGAUGGAGAGAAGAAGACAAGUAUCUCAGGAGGUGGAGGCACAGGAGUGAGAGAGUGCAGGGAGAAAUCACCGAAAAUGUGUAGCAAACCCUGUAUGGUGACCAGCAGCAGAAGCAGCAUGAUUCUGGUGAACUUGGGGAGAUGUCCCAUUAGAGGUGGAUAGAGAAUGAAAUUGGGGGAGCUGGGCAUCUGGUGAUGGACAAAGACUGUCAUUUAUUUUUAUUUGGGGGCUAAGUUCCUUAUCAUUCGUGGAUUUCAGUAACGAUGUGUGCAUGUGGAUAUACUUUGUAUCUGAAUGGCUGUUUUCUCCAGGGCAAAACCUGGAGCUAUGCGUUGGUCUUUGUGGUGUGGAGUGAGGUCUGGUUGUGGUAUGGAAUGGAUUUUGCUGAUGGCAUGGAAUGGGAUCUGGUUGUGCUAUGUGAUGGGAUAUGGCUUUUAAUAUGGAAUAAAGAUAAGAAUGAGAUGAAUGAGAAAUAGUUUUUUUUAGGUCUGGGAUGGCGUCUGUCUGUGGUCCUGCAGUACAGAUAGCUCAGAUUGCUGAGCUAUGACACAGGAUUUAGUCCAUGCAUAGCAUGGGAUCUGGUUGAGGUUUGACAAGGCAUCUACUGCAAUGUAGUGGUCAUCACCUGUCUAUUCAUUUUCUGAUUGGUGCACAGAAGGCUUCUUUUUUUUUUUUUUUUGCCUUACAAGAUUCCUAGAUUCUAGAAGAUGGUUUGUGGUUCACAGAACAAAACAUGCGCUGCAAUUAUAACGGGAGUGUGACAUCAAGACAAAUGAUUUGUAUCUUUUGAAAUGCAUUAUUUUAUUUCUAAUAGCUACUGCCUGAUGGCAACUCACCUACAGUCACCAGAAACACACAUUGUCGAGAGACAUGUAGUGGAUUCAUUUAGCUUGAUCUAUGCUAACAUGCCUAGCUGGUACUUAGAGUUUCUGUGUAUAUAUACUGCAGCUAUCAUGGUCCGUGUAAAUGGUGCAAUAUAACUGCCUGGUGCUCCCCUCCCUUUUGAGCAUGUGCUUUUCCUCUAUCUCAUUCAUUGGCUCAAACAGACCUUCAUUUUUUUAUU